rnacentral:rRNA from 1 species
GGGUUGUGAGGUUAAGCGACUAAGCGUACACGGUGGAUGCCUAGGCAGUCAGAGGCGAUGAAGGGCGUGCUAAUCUGCGAUAAGCGUCGGUAAGCUGAUAUGAAGCGUUAUACCCGACGAUACCCGAAUGGGGAAACCCAGUGUGUUUCGACACACUAUCAUUAUGUGAAUACAUAGCGUAAUGAGGCGAACCGGGGGAACUGAAACAUCUCAGUACCCCGAGGAAAAGAAAUCAACCGAGAUUCCCCUAGUAGCGGCGAGCGAACGGGGAGGAGCCCAGAACCUGAAUCAGUUUGUGUGUUAGUGGAAGCGUCUGGAAAGUCGCACAGUAAAGGGUGAUAGUCCCGUACACAAAAAUGCACAGAUUGUGAGUUCGAUGAGUAGGGCGGGACACGUGACAUCCUGUCUGAAUAUGGGGGACCAUCCUCCAAGGCUAAAUACUCCUGACUGACCGAUAGUGAACCAGUACCGUGAGGGAAAGGCGAAAAGAACCCCGGCGAGGGGAGUGAAAUAGAACCUGAAACCGUGUACGUACAAGCAGUGGGAGCCUUGAUUAAUCAGGGUGACUGCGUACCUUUUGUAUAAUGGGUCAGCGACUUAUAUUCUGUAGCAAGGUUAACCGUAUAGGGGAGCCGUAGGGAAACCGAGUCUUAACUGGGCGUUAAGUUGCAGGGUAUAGACCCGAAACCCGGUGAUCUAGCCAUGGGCAGGUUGAAGGUUGGGUAACACUAACUGGAGGACCGAACCGACUAAUGUUGAAAAAUUAGCGGAUGACUUGUGGCUGGGGGUGAAAGGCCAAUCAAACCGGGAGAUAGCUGGUUCUCCCGAAAGCUAUUUAGGUAGCGCCUCGUGAAUUCAUCUUCGGGGUAGAGCACUGUUUCGGCUAGGGGGUCAUCCCGACUUACCAACCCGAUGCAAACUACGAAUACCGAAGAAUGUUAUCACGGGAGACACACGGCGGGUGCUAACGUUCGUCGUGAAGAGGGAAACAACCCAGACCGCCAGCUAAGGUCCCAAAGUCAUGGUUAAGUGGGAAACGAUGUGGGAAGGCACAGACAGCCAGGAUGUUGGCUUAGAAGCAGCCAUCAUUUAAAGAAAGCGUAAUAGCUCACUGGUCGAGUCGGCCUGCGCGGAAGAUGUAACGGGGCUAAACCAUGCACCGAAGCUGCGGCAGCGACACUUAGGUGUUGUUGGGUAGGGGAGCGUUCUGUAAGCCGUCGAAGGUGGCCUGUGAGGGCUGCUGGAGGUAUCAGAAGUGCGAAUGCUGACAUAAGUAACGAUAAUGCGGGUGAAAAACCCGCACGCCGGAAGACCAAGGGUUCCUGUCCAACGUUAAUCGGGGCAGGGUGAGUCGACCCCUAAGGCGAGGCUGAAAAGCGUAGUCGAUGGGAAACAGGUUAAUAUUCCUGUACUCGGUGUUACUGCGAAGGGGGGACGGAGAAAGCUAGGUUAUCCGGGCGACGGUUGUCCCGGUUUAAGCGUGAAGGUGGAUGACUUUGGUAAAUCCGGGUCGUCAUUAACACUGAGGCGUGAUGACGAGUCACUACGGUGAUGAAGUAACCAAUGCUACGCUUCCAGGAAAAGCCUCUAAGCUCCAGGUAACAUCAAAUCGUACCCCAAACCGACACAGGUGGUCAGGUAGAGAAUACUCAGGCGCUUGAGAGAACUCGGGUGAAGGAACUAGGCAAAAUGGUGCCGUAACUUCGGGAGAAGGCACGCUGAUGGUAGGUGAAGUGACUUGCUCACGGAGCUGAAAUCAGUCGAAGAUACCAGCUGGCUGCAACUGUUUAAUAAAAACACAGCACUGUGCAAACACGAAAGUGGACGUAUACGGUGUGACGCCUGCCCGGUGCCGGAAGGUUAAUUGAUGGGGUCAGCCGCAAGGCGAAGCUCUUGAUCGAAGCCCCGGUAAACGGCGGCCGUAACUAUAACGGUCCUAAGGUAGCGAAAUUCCUUGUCGGGUAAGUUCCGACCUGCACGAAUGGCGUAAUGAUGGCCAGGCUGUCUCCACCCGAGACUCAGUGAAAUUGAACUCGCUGUGAAGAUGCAGUGUACCCGCGGCAAGACGGAAAGACCCCGUGAACCUUUACUAUAGCUUGACACUGAACCUUGAGCCUUGAUGUGUAGGAUAGGUGGGAGGCUUUGAAGCGUGGACGCCAGUCUGCGUGGAGCCAACCUUGAAAUACCACCCUUUAAUGUUUGAUGUUCUAACGUGGGCCCGUGAUCCGGGUUGCGGACAGUGUCUGGUGGGUAGUUUGACUGGGGCGGUCUCCUCCCAAAGCGUAACGGAGGAGCACGAAGGUUAGCUAAUCCUGGUCGGACAUCAGGAGGUUAGUGCAAAGGCAUAAGCUAGCUUGACUGCGAGAGUGACAGCUCGAGCAGGUGCGAAAGCAGGUCUUAGUGAUCCGGUGGUUCUGAAUGGAAGGGCCAUCGCUCAACGGAUAAAAGGUACUCCGGGGAUAACAGGCUGAUACCGCCCAAGAGUUCAUAUCGACGGCGGUGUUUGGCACCUCGAUGUCGGCUCAUCACAUCCUGGGGCUGAAGUAGGUCCCAAGGGUAUGGCUGUUCGCCAUUUAAAGUGGUACGCGAGCUGGGUUUAGAACGUCGUGAGACAGUUCGGUCCCUAUCUGCCGUGGGCGUUGGAAGAUUGAGAGGGGUUGCUCCUAGUACGAGAGGACCGGAGUGAACGCACCACUGGUGUUCGGGUUGUGAUGCCAAUUGCAUUGCCCGGUAGCUAAGUGCGGAAGAGAUAACCGCUGAAAGCAUCUAAGCGGGAAACUUGCCUCGAGAUGAGUCUUCCCUGGGCACUAGAUGCCCCUGAAGGGCCGUUGAAGACGACGACGUAGAUAGGCUGGGUGUGUAAGCGUAGCGAUACGUUGAGCUAACCAGUACUAAUGACCCGAGAGGCUUAACCUUACAACACCGAAGGUGUUU